rnacentral:rRNA from 1 species
GGGUGAGUGACACGUGGAUAACCUACCUAUAAGACUGGGAUAACUUCGGGAAACCGGAGCUAAUACCGGAUAAUAUUUUGAACCGCAUGGUUCAAAAGUGAAAGACGGUCUUGCUGUCACUUAUAGAUGGAUCCGCGCUGCAUUAGCUAGUUGGUAAGGUAACGGCUUACCAAGGCAACGAUGCAUAGCCGACCUGAGAGGGUGAUCGGCCACACUGGAACUGAGACACGGUCCAG